UCAGCUUUUUAGGUAUAUAAUAUAAUAAUAAUGAGUGAGGCUGGUACCGUACUUUCAAAUUAUUUUCGAUAUUAGAACUUUCGAACCGACGAUCAGCUCCAUUAGACUUAUUAGAGUAUUUGAAGUAGUUAGAAAAUAAAUUUUGUGUUUUUUCGAAAUUAUUUGCCUAAUGAUCGAAGGGGCUCAAAAUCAACGGCUGAAAAUAAAAAUCUUACAAAAUGUGAUGAUAAGAUAUAAAAGUUUUAGAUCCAAGAUAUUAAUCUUAUUUUAUAUAGUAUAAAAAAUUUUCUAUCAAAAUUUCAUAUGAUUUGAAUAUUUCUAUACCGUUAAACUUACAAACGGCUUACAUAUCAAAAAAUCACAACAUUUAUUUUCUAGAUACUUUAAAUACUCUAAGAUCAAACCUAACGGAACUGAUCGUCGAUUCGAAUGUCCCAACAUCGAAAACGACUUAAAAGUAUGGAGGGUUCCGUACUUUCAGAAGCAUACUAGCCUCACUCUAUUAUAAUAUAUAUACUAAAA
rnacentral:lncRNA from 1 species